GUCUUUGGCCAUGCCACCCUCAAUAAGCCUGAUGUCUGAUCUUGGAAGCUAAACAGGGUCGGGCAUGGUUAGUACUUGGCUGGGAGACCACCAGGUGCUGUAGGCA
rnacentral:rRNA from 1 species